UGGGGAAUUUUGGACAAUGGGCGAAAGCCUGAUCCAGCAAUGCCGCGUGUGUGAAGAAGGCCUUCGGGUUGUAAAGCACUUUUGUCCGGAAAGAAAUCCUUGGCUCUAAUACAGUCGGGGGAUGACGGUACCGGAAGAAUAAGCACCGGCUAACUACGUGCCAGCAGCCGCGGUAAUACGUAGGGUGCAAGCGUUAAUCGGAAUUACUGGGCGUAAAGCGUGCGCAGGCGGUUUGCUAAGACCGAUGUGAAAUCCCCGGGCUCAACCUGGGAACUGCAUUGGUGACUGGCAGGCUAGAGUAUGGCAGAGGGGGGUAGAAUUCCACGUGUAGCAGUGAAAUGCGUAGAGAUGUGGAGGAAUACCGAUGGCGAAGGCAGCCCCCUGGGCCAAAUACUGACGCUCAUGCACG
rnacentral:rRNA from 1 species